rnacentral:lncRNA from 1 species
GGGACAUGAUUAUCAUAAACGUGGACUGCACUCUGUCGAUGGGAGCAAUUAUGCAGGCCUAUGCAUCUCGAUGGUCUCGGGAUACGCCAGUCCAAGUACAUGAAUGAUGCACUAGUAGCUAUGCAAGCAUGGCACAUACUUUCCAAUCCACAGGGGUUCAUGCAGCGAACCCUUCUUGCGAAACACUGCACGAAGCAAAAUUAUAUGAAGGUAACGAACAAAACCACUAAUUCCUGGACAUGCAAGUGUGUACUGCGAGGAAGGAUAUAUGUAGUCAAAGAAUAGAUAUUCAAAUCUGGGAUGGAAAUAGAGUGUCAAGAUUCAAGCAUGGUUUGGUAUUGCAACAGUAUGCGGAGCAAGUAUUGCCAAGUUUGCCGAUUACUUGCAUAAGACAGCAGGGUCAGUUAUCAUGGCAUAAUACUACCAUCCAAGAACAAUUACAUGAUUCUUGGGCAACUGAAAUGCCUUCCAAGUCAUUCUCAGUCCUGAAAUCCGGGGAUCGUUUUGUCUAGAAAUAUAGUUAUAAUGGGAAAUUAAUUCAGUGUUAAGGAAGCGCAACUUCCUUCACCAACCUCAGACAAGCCAGGUAUCUCUGAUUAAUUGGCGUGUUUUCUGGAAAAUCAAGCUUCCAUACUCUUUUUUCUUUGGAAAAUCAUCAAUCAAAACCUCCCAGUUUAGUAGACCAGUGAACGCUAUCUACCUAACGUUCAUAGUAUAUGCCCAAUGUGUCAUGCUGAUCCAGAGACCAUAGAUCAUUUAUUUCGCACAUGCACGUUUGUUCGCGCUAUCUGGUUUGGUUCGAACCUUGGUCUCCGAAUUCAUAAUACUACUAUUCCUCCUAUCCGGGGGUGGGUUAUGGCAACAGGAUGAACCAGCGGAUAUCAUGAAGACAAAGGUAGUUACGGUUUGGCAAAUUUGGAGACACAGAAAUCAGGUCACCUCCUAGAUCGCCUCCUAGUCACCCAGCGAGAUUGCCCAGCACCCAGCUCACCAUUGCCCUCCAGCAUCCCUGCCAUGCUUCGCAUAAAGCCUCUGCUAC